GGUGGGGUGGGGUGGAGUGGCGUGGGGCUUGGAGUAGCGGGUUGGGUUUCCUUUUUCCUCCUCCCUUCUAGGGUUGUAGAAUUCUCAACUACCUCUUUGUAUCUAAGCUAAAACCCUAUUAUCCUCUUUGUAUCUAAGCAUUGUUGAUUAAGGCACAAAGAAGCACCAAUUACAAUCAGAGGUAUCAACAAUUCCUUCAAUUUCACUCUAUUAGACUUGUAAAAUCACCAAAAAAAAAAACCAUCUUUUGCUGAACAAUUGUACAUUAAUGUGAUAUCUUUAAUGUAUUUAUGUAGAAAAUGAAUCACCCAUGAAAGUUUCUUGGACUAUUUGCAUAGGCUAGAAAUUAUAUAUUCUAUUUGAGAUGUUAGUAAUUCGGAGAGUCCGAAAAAUUGUAUCUUGGAAAAUGAUAUCUCAGGUUAAUCACUUAUUUGUUUCUCCUAUUACUGAAAAGGGUUCCACUUUGAUUAGUCCCCAGAACUUUCAAUCGUUGAAUAUUCGAUGUUUUCGUAGUUCACAUAAUGUUAAGGUUUCAGUCCCUGAAUUGACAACUCAGACACCUGUUUUUCCUGCUGUGAGUAAAAUAACGCGGGUCGCAAGAACGGAUGGACAAGCAGCUCUUUUUGAUUACUUGCAUUGUACUAGAGGUUUUAAUUAUAUGGAUGCUGAGCAUAUUAGCAAGAAUUCACCUCAUUUCCUUCAAAGUUUGUUGUCCAAGAUUGAUAAUGAUCAAGAUGUAACAAGGGCAUUGACCCGCUUCUUUAGAUAUUAUCCGAUUAAUGAGUUUGAGCCGUUCUUGGAGAGCGUGGGGUUGAAACCGUCUGAGGUUACAUCUAUGCUUCCACGAGAUUUGAUGUUUUUGAGUGAUGACCAUGUCUUGCUUGAUAAUUAUCAUGUUCUUUGUUAUUAUGGCAUCCCUCGCACUAAACUUGGGAAGAUUUAUAGGGAUGCGACUGAGAUAUUUGGAUAUGAAGAUGGAGUAUUAGAUAUGAAAUUGAAGGCUUAUGAGAAACUGGGGUUGAGCAGAUCAACAGUUAUAAAGUUGGUGACUUCUUCCCCUACUCUUUUGCUUGGUGAGAUGAACAGCGAACUUCUUCAGGUUCUUGAAAAAUUGAAAAUUUUAGGGUUUGAAAAUGAUUGGAUGGGAGGAUAUUUAUCCAACAGGCACUCCUACAGUUGGGGUAGAAUGCUUAACACAUUGCAUUUUCUCAAUGAAAUAGGAUAUAGCGAUGAAAAGAUAGCGACUUUGUUUAAGAUGAACCCUGCAUUCUUAUUUGAAGGCUCUGGGAAACGGAUUUAUGUAUUGGUUGGGCAAUUACUGAAGUUGGGUCUUAAAAUGAAUGACGUAUACUCACUAUUCUGUCAAAAUCCUAAUAUUCUAUCUCUGAAGUGUGCUAAAAAUCUCUGGCAUGCAUUGUACUUCUUAUUGGAGAUUGGAUUAGAGAUCGAUAACAUUUCAAACAUUGUAUCUGCACAUAUACAACUUCUGGGUUCACAUUCUCUGAAGGGACCAAAGACUGUUUUGAGGGGCUUCAAGGGUGACAAGUGUCGUUUAUGUCAGACUGUAAAGGAUGAUCCUUUGAAUUUAUUUAGACUAGCUUCAAAAUCAAAAUUUAACGUGGAUCAGAUGACUUCCCAGAGCCCGGGAAAAUUAUUUGAGAAAACUACUUUCUUAUUGAGAUUAGGUUACUUAGAAAAUACGGAUGAGAUGGCAAAAGCUUUGAAACAGUUCCGUGGACGGGGAGACCAAUUGCAAGAGAGGUUUGAUUGCCUAGUAAAUGCUGGUUUGGACUGCAAUGUUGUAAUCAAUAUGAUCAAACGAGCUCCAACGACGCUGAACCAGAGCAAAAAUGUGAUUGAGAAGAAAAUUGAUUUACUGAAAACAUAUUUAGGUUAUCCCGUGGAGUCGAUUGUAUCAUUUCCAUCUUACCUCUGCUAUGAUGUGGACAGAGUCCAUCGUCGGUUUUCAAUGUAUGCAUGGCUGAAGCAAAAGGGUGCUGCAAAACCAACAUUUUAAAGGACUUCUCAUCCCGGUUGGUAGCUGCUACUCCCAUCACAACUCCUCUUCAUGCUUUAGACGAGCGGACUCUCGAUAUUUUGUUAGGCCAUGAUUUGUGCGCCUGCGCUUUCUUUCUCAACAUUACUAUGUGUGGGUGGAAUAAUUUUGUGAACAAAAUGCUAGAUCACUUCUGCUCAUAUGCAAGUCUUGGUGGACAGAGUUACUUAGUACGUGUACUCGUGGGAGGUGGCAGAUAUCUGCUGGAUUUGUACGCAAACGUGCUUGGACACCAGAGUUAUAAAAACAAUUCCAAUGUGUCUCUUAAUCAAAUGUUAAUUUCAUUACUAUGCAUCAAGUUGGAUUACACAAGGCUGCUAUUGUUGUGUGCAUGAAGUUGGUGCCAAAUAUGUAGAGCCCACGAAUAUGUUCACGUUCUGGGCAUCUUUCAAAUCACACAGAUAAUACAAGAGCUGAAAUGCUUUGAAUUUACCCAUGGUAAUGGCUGAUAACUUUUUGCAAAACACCUACAUGUAGUUUCUUACUUUUCAACUUAUGUUUAAAAAAAAAAAGCGCAUUUGUUGAUGAACUUGUGAGAUCAUAUUCUGACUUGAAUAGAAAAGAAGAUAUAGGUGAGGCAAAAUUAGUACCAAAAUUUUUGUUUUUCAAGAAUGUAACAUGAAAAUGAUCUGCAACACAACAUAAACACCAUCUUCUGUGACAAGAAAUGCCCAUCUCAUUCUCAAAAAUGAUGAUCCAAAUAUCUCUACCUAGUUACAAAAUACGGUAAA